AAGGUGUUAAGGUUAAUAACCUUGACAAUUGACGUUACCGACAGAAGAAGCACCGGCUAACUCCGUGCCAGCAGCCGCGGUAAUACGGAGGGUGCAAGCGUUAAUCGGAAUUACUGGGCGUAAAGCGCACGCAGGCGGUUGAUUGAGUCAGAUGUGAAAUCCCCGGGCUUAACCCGGGAAUUGCAUCUGAUACUGGUCAGCUAGAGUCUUGUAGAGGGGGGUAGAAUUCCAUGUGUAGCGGUGAAAUGCGUAAAGAUGUGGAGGAAUACCGGUGGCGAAGGCGGCCCCCUGGACAAAGACUGACGCUCAGGUGCGAAAGCG
rnacentral:rRNA from 1 species